rnacentral:rRNA from 1 species
UACGUAGGUGGCAAGCGUUGUCCGGAUUUAUUGGGUUUAAAGGGUGCGUAGGCGGCUUUUUAAGUCAGUGGUGAAAGCCGAUCGCUUAACGAUCGAACUGCCAUUGAUACUGAGAGGCUUGAGUAUAGUUGAGGUAGGCGGAAUUGACAGUGUAGCGGUGAAAUGCAUAGAUAUUGUCAAGAACACCGAUAGCGAAGGCAGCUUGCUAGCCUGUAACUGACGCUGAGGCACGAAAGUGUGGGGAUCAAACAGG